CCGGAAGAUUUAGUGGCGAACGGGUGAGGAUCACGUGAGAAACCUGCCCCAAACUUUGGGAUAACAGUUGGAAACGAUUGCUAAUACCGAAUAUCGUCGAAGAACCGCAUGGUUCAUUGACGAAAGGAAAUCCGGUUUGGGAGGGUCUCGCGGCCUAUCAGCUUGUUGGUGGGGUAAUGGCCUACCAAGGCAACGACGGGUAGCUGGUCUGAGAGGAUGAUCAGCCACACUGGGACUGAGACACGGCCCAGACUCCUACGGGAGGCAGCAGUGGGGAAUCUUGCGCAAUGGGCGAAAGCCUGACGCAGCAACGCCGCGUGCGGGAUGAAGGCCUUCGGGCUGUAAACCGCUUUCAGCAGGAACGAAAAUGACGGUACCUGCAGAAGAAGGAGCGGCCAACUACGUGCCAGCAGCCGCGGUGACACGUAGGCUCCAAGCGUUGUCCGGAUUUAUUGGGCGUAAAGAGCUCGUAGGCGGUUUAGUAAGUCGGGUGUUAAAACUCUGGGCUCAACCCGGAGAGGCCAUCCGAUACUGCUGUGACUUGAGUUCAGGAGGGGAGCGGGGAAUUCCUAGUGUAGCGGUGAAAUGCGCAGAUAUUAGGAGGAACACCGGUGGCGAAGGCGCCGCUCUGGACUGAAACUGACGCUGA
rnacentral:rRNA from 1 species